rnacentral:rRNA from 1 species
UACGUAGGGUGCAAGCGUUGUCCGGAAUUAUUGGGCGUAAAGAGCUCGUAGGCGGCCUGUCACGUCCGCUGUGAAAUCCCGGGGCUCAACCCCGGGCCUGCAGUGGAUACGGGCUGGCUGGAGGCAGGCAGGGGAGAACGGAAUUCCUGGUGUAGCGGUGAAAUGCGCAGAUAUCAGGAGGAACACCGGUGGCGAAGGCGGGUCUCUGGGCCGAUACUGACGCUGAGGAGCGAAAGCGUGGGGAGCGAACAGG